rnacentral:rRNA from 1 species
CCUACGGGAGGCUGCAGUGAGGAAUAUUGGUCAAUGGCCGGAAGGCUGAACCAGCCAAGCCGCGUGAAGGACGCAGGUGCCAAGCAUUGUAAACUUCUUUUGUCAAGGGACAAAAUCAGGCGCGAGAGCCUGACCGAGGGUACUUGAAGAAAAAGCAUCGGCAAACUCCGUGCCAGCAGCCGCGUCAAUACGGAGGAUGCGAGCGUUAUCCGGAUUUAUUGGGUUAAUAGGGUGGGUAGGCGGACUGUUAAGUCAGCGGUAAAAGCCCGGGGCUCAACCCCGGCGAGCCGUUGAGACUGGCUGUCUUGAGAUGUCGAGAGGGAUGCGGAAUGCGCGGUGUAGCAGUGAAAUGCGUAGAUAUUGCGCAGAACUCCGAUUGCGAAGGCAGAAUACCGGCGGCGAUCUGACGCUGAGGCACGAAGGCGAGGGUAUCGAAAAGGAUUAGAUACCCGGGUAGUC